AGAGUUUGAUCCUGGCUCAGAACGAACGCUGGCGGCAUGCCUAACACAUGCAAGUCGAACGAAGGCUUCGGCCUUAGUGGCGCACGGGUGCGUAACGCGUGGGAAUCUGCCCUUGGGUACGGAAUAACAGUUAGAAAUGACUGCUAAUACCGUAUAAUGACUUCGGUCCAAAGAUUUAUCGCCCAGGGAUGAGCCCGCGUCGGAUUAGCUAGUUGGUGAGGUAAAAGCUCACCAAGGCGACGAUCCGUAGCUGGUCUGAGAGGAUGAUCAGCCACACUGGGACUGAGACACGGCCCAGACUCCUACGGGAGGCAGCAGUGGGGAAUAUUGGACAAUGGGCGCAAGCCUGAUCCAGCAAUGCCGCGUGAGUGAUGAAGGCCUUAGGGUUGUAAAGCUCUUUUACCCGGGAAGAUAAUGACUGUACCGGGAGAAUAAGCCCCGGCUAACUCCGUGCCAGCAGCCGCGGUAAUAC
rnacentral:rRNA from 1 species